rnacentral:rRNA from 1 species
UACGAAGGGGGCUAGCGUUGCUCGGAUUGACUGGGCGUAAAGGGCGCGUAGGCGGUUUGUACAGUCAGACGUGAAAUUCCUGGGCUCAACCUGGGGGCUGCGUUUGAUACGUGCGAGCUUGAGUUCGGAAGAGGGUCGUGGAAUUCCCAGUGUAGAGGUGAAAUUCGUAGAUAUUGGGAAGAACACCGGUGGCGAAGGCGGCGACCUGGUCCGAUACUGACGCUGAGGCGCGAAAGCGUGGGGAGCAAACAGA